UACGGUGUUUCCGAAGUCAGCCCACUGCUAUGUCUACCACGUUCGGAUCUUCGGUGUUUCCAAUCGUUCGGCUCCGUCUUCGACGUUUCCAAUCACGCACUUACACCUCUCGACUUCUCCUCAUCAGUCCCUAAACACUUUAAGGUUCAAGAACUGUGGUUUUGGUGCUUUAAUUUCAGGGGAGCUUUCUAUCAAAGUUAAAGGUGUAUUGAUUAUUCAUAUUCCUUUCUGGGUUUAUGGUUUUAUUAUUGCGUUAAACUUUGGAUUUUUGUUGUCAGUGACUCAUUUUUUUUAGAGAUGUUAUUGUUUUAAUAAGAUUUUGAGUGUCUAUUGUUAUGCAUAUUGAUGAAUAUUCUAGAGAAAUUUGCAGCUAAGUGAAAUUAAUGGUAAAUUUUUUGAUGAAUAUUCUCUUUGCUAUUUUUAUCCGAUAGUAUUAUGCCCACACCAAAAUGAUUACAGGAGUGAUUUUUGCCUAAAAAUGUUUACUUGCUAAUUUAAAUAUAAUAAUUUUACGUUACUUUGGUGAUUUUUGGUAUCUUUUUAGUGGAAUCUAUUCAUGAUGUUUCACUUCUCUGUUCUUGGUUUUUCAUGUAUAUGAGGAUUUAAUGCUUUGUUAUAUAUACACCAACAGAAGAAUUCGAAGGAUCCAUGUCGUCGAUGGUGUCCAUGGAGGUGUCAAGCUCAUCAUGGGACACCCUUCGCAAAUAGGUUAUGAGCUAUGGUUGAUCCUUUUAUCUAUGAAUUAUAUCAGGCCAGAAAAAUUGAAGCUCAAUUAGAUGAGCAAAUGAAUUCAUAUCGAAAACUGGUUUCCUUAAAGGAUUCCACAAAAAUUAAUGCUAAAGAGAAUGAUCUUGAAUCUGGGAUUGACCGUCCACUAAAGCAGCUUCAACAAGUGAACUCCUAGAUGCAAGCUUGGGUUUCUUCGGGUGGCCCGGAAAUGGUUUCUCAUACCUUGACUAGGCAUCAAGAUAUUCUUCAAGAUCUCACUCAGUGCAGGAGUUUUAUCGUUUCCGCUCUAGCCUCAGGGCUAAGAAAGAACAUGCAUCACUUCUUGAUGAUUUUAGAGAGUUUGAUAGAACAAGAUUAGACUUGGAAGAGGGUGGUGAUUCUGCCGAGCAAGGUCUUCUAAAAGAACAUGCAUC